rnacentral:rRNA from 1 species
GUAGUCAUAUGCUUGUCUCAAAGAUUAAGCCAUGCAUGUCUAAGUAUAAAUUCUUGUACGAUGAAACUGCAGACGGCUCAUUACAACAGUGAUAAACUAAUAGACUUUCGGGUUUUUAACCUUUUGGAUAACCGCAGUAAAUCGGGGCUAAUACAUACAAGCGAUGGGUGACUGGCAACGGAAGCUCAGCGAUUAUUAGCAUUACUACCAAUACCUUCGGGUCUUGUGGUGAAACCGAAUAAUAUUGCAGAUCGAGGAUUUAUCUUCGACAAGUCUACUGUGUCACUGCCCUAUCAACUUUCGAUGGUACGGUAUUGGCCUACCAUGGUUGCAACGGGUAACGGGGAAU